UUCCGGUUGAUCCUGCCGGAGGCCAUUGCUAUUGGAGUCCGAUUUAGCCAUGCUAGUCGCGCGGGUUCAGACCCGCGGCAGAUAGCUCAGUAACACGUGGCCAAACUACCCUAUGGACGGGAAUAACCCCGGGAAACUGAGGCUAAUACCCGAUACAGCUCUCAGACUGGAGUGUCGAGAGCUGGAAACGCUCCGGCGCCAUAGGAUGUGGCUGCGGCCGAUUAGGUAGACGGUGGGGUAACGGCCCACCGUGCCUAUAAUUGGUACGGGUUGUGAGAGCAAGAACCCGGAGACGGUAUCUGAGACAAGAUACCGGGCCCUACGGGGCGCAGCAGGCGCGAAACCUUUACACUGCACGCCAGUGCGAUAAGGGAAUCCCAAGUGCGCAGGCAUAGAGCCUGUGCUUUUGUCCACCGUAGGGAGGUGGACGAAUAAGGGCUGGGCAAGACCGGUGCCAGCCGCCGCGGUAAUACCGGCAGCCCGAGUGAUGGCCGAUUUUAUUGGGCCUAAAGCGUCCGUAGCUGGCCGCGCAAGUCCAUCGGAAAAUCCACCCGCUCAACGGGUGGGCGUCCGGUGGAAACUGCGUGGCUUGGGACCGGAAGGCGCGACGGGUACGUCCGGGGUAGGAGUGAAAUCCCGUAAUCCUGGACGGACCGCCGAUGGCGAAAGCACGUCGCGAGGACGGAUCCGACAGUGAGGGACGAAAGCUAGGGUCUCGAACCGGAUUAGAUACCCGGGUAGUCCUAGCCGUAAACAAUGUCUGUUAGGUGUGGCUCCCACUACGAGUGGGUGCUGUGCCGUAGGGAAGCCGCUAAACAGACCGCCUGGGAAGUACGUCCGCAAGGAUGAAACUUAAAGGAAUUGGCGGGGGAGCAC
rnacentral:rRNA from 1 species